ACUAAAUCUGAACUGACUCUGGGGCAAAAGUCCAUGGAUGCCACAACCAGAACCCUGUCUCCAUCAGCAUCAUGUCUCCACCUGCAUCCACCCUGUCUCCACCAGCAUGUAUUCUGUCUCUACCAGCACGUACCAUGUAUCUACCAGCAUCCACUCUGUCUCCACCAGCACCCUGUCUCCAUCAGCAUCUACCCUGUCUCCACCAGCAUGUAUUCUGUCUCUACCAACACACCACAUGUCUCCAUCAGCAUGUACCCUGUCUCCACCUGUAUGCACCCUGUCUCCACUAGCAUGCAUCAUGUCUCCACCAGCAUGCAUCCUGUCUCCACCAGCAUGGACCCUGUCUCCACCAGUAUGUACCAUGUCUCCAUCAGCAUGCACCAUGUCUCCACCAGCAUGCACCAUGUCUCUACCAGCAUGCCACAUGUCUCCACAGUCACCCUGUCUCCAGUGUCUUACUCAGAUGAAGGCUGAAUGAAAUGGGCUAUCUGUGGGGUUCCCUGAGGUUAAUAUGAAGGGGUGUAAACACACAAGCAGCCUCUCAGCAGGGAGCCCUGGCUGAACUGCGCCUUGCCACACUGUCCAGGCAGAUUUCGAAUUCAUGGCAGUCCUUCUGAUUCACCCUCCACUGUGCUGGAUUUGCAGGUGUACCCUGUAACAUUCUCGAGAAAUCUUGAAAUUUUUUUCUGUUCUUGUCUUUAGGUGUUA
rnacentral:lncRNA from 1 species